CUCAGGGGAAGGAGUUCUCCGGGUUCUGCCUCUGGGCGCCGCCAUGUUGUACGGAAAUCGCCUCUGGCGCAGGGGCUUGGACCGGGUUUCUCUAGGAGCUGCUUAGAAGGUGGAGCAGAAAAUGCAAGAGAUGGUGGAGACUGGAGGGAUCUGUGUGGAACGGCUCCAUCUGGGAACUGGCCACCUGAUCCUGCAGUGGAGAUGUCCCACUCUUGAGGGAGGAGGCUUAGGGGGAGGAGAGGGAUCCACCUGCUGAAGAAGACCAUACCAAUCACCCUUUGGGCACUGAGACUGAGUCUCCCUGUGAAAUGGAGACAAGACUUAGUAAUUCAGGGAGAUAAUCGCUGGACAUGUCGCUGGCUGGGAAUGUGGUGGACAUGAGAAGGGAAAGCCCUUGUAGGAAAUCUCUUAAUUAUAAACUUGGUUGGUGUGUGGGA